AGUGAACGCUGGCGGCGUGCUUAGCACAUGCAAGUCGAGCGAGUGAAUCUCCUUCGGGAGUGAAACUAGCGGCGGACGGGAGAGUAACACGUGGGCAACCUGCCUAAUAGAGGGGAAUAGCAUUUGGAUAGGAAGAUUAAUACCGCAUAAGAUUGUAGCUUCGCAUUGAGUAGCAAUUAAAGCAGUAAUCCGCUAUGAGAUAGGUCCGCGGCGCAUUAGCUAGUUGGCCCAGUAACGGCUCACCAAGGCGACGAUGCGUAGCCGAACUUAGAGGGUGAUCGGCCACAUUGGGCCUGAGAGACGGCCCAGACUCCUACGGGAGGCAGCAGUGGGGAAUAUUGCACAAUGUGGGAAACCCUGAUGCAGCAACGCCGCGUGAGUGAUGACGGCCUUCGGGUUGUAAAACUCUGUCUUCAGGGACGAUAAUGACGGUACCUGAGGAGGAAGCCACGGCUAACUACGUGCCAGCCGCCGCGGUAA
rnacentral:rRNA from 1 species